AUGAAGACAAAUGUUCCUUCUUUAUUCAUGUUUCUGUGGCUGCAGCGGCAUGGGCUGAGCCAAGGAGAGCAGGUGGAACAGCAUCCUUCUACCCUGAGAGUCCAAGAUGGAGCCAGCGCUGUCAUCAACUGCACAUAUGUAGACAGAACCUCGUACAGCUUCCUUUGGUAUAAGCAAGGACCUGGAGCGCAUCCUAAGCUCAUUGUUGACAUUCAUUCAAAUGUGGGAAGAAAGCAUGAUGAAAGACUGAUUGUUUUUCUGGAUAAGAAAGCCAAACACUUCUCCCUGCACAUCACAGAUGCCCAGCCUGAAGACUCUGCCAUGUAUUUCUGUGCCACAGAUACACACUGCUCCCCAGGCACCUGCAGUCUGUCCUCUAACCUGUCAUAG